ACGGGUGAGUAACGCGUAGGUAUCUAUCUCCGGGUGGGGGACAACUGUGGGAAACUACAGCUAAUACCGCAUGACGCCCGAGGGCCAAAGCAGCGAUGCGCCUGGAGAGGAGCCUGCGUACGAUUAGCUUGUUGGCGGGGUAAUGGCCCACCAAGGCGACGAUCGUUAGCUGGUCUGAGAGGAUGAUCAGCCACACUGGGACUGAGACACGGCCCAGACUCCUACGGGAGGCAGCAGUGGGGAAUAUUGGACAAUGGGCGCAAGCCUGAUCCAGCAAUGCCGCGUGAGUGAAGAAGGUCUUCGGAUUGUAAAGCUCUUUCGACGGGGACGAUGAUGACGGUACCCGUAGAAGAAGCCCCGGCUAACUUCGUGCCAGCAGCCGCGG
rnacentral:rRNA from 1 species